UUGCCCUACGGAAUGCUCAGGUCCGCCGCAUCUCCUGGGUCCGUGGGGUUUGGCCGGCCGGGUCGUGCGCGAGAGGCCUCCUUUCGCACGUUACCCGGUCGGCCUUCCU
rnacentral:sRNA from 1 species